CCGGUUCCCGGACCUCUCUCGAUCACAGCCGGGACGGUCAUCAUGGAGAUUUUAGUCGAUUGGAGUCCGACACUACCACGCCGCUUACCCCAGAAGCAGCCUGGCGUCCGUACGGAUUUCCUCCACAUAAAUAUAAAAAAAAAGAUCUUUCAAACCAAAACAACGUUGAUAUUCCAAGGCACAAUAAUAUAAGUCACUCUCGUUUCAAAUUUUCCGUUUACUCAUGUGCUGCUACAAAACUAAUAAUCAGUCGAAUCAAGUACCUGUAUACUCUUCUUUAGAGAAUAAUUAAAAACUGCAUUGAAUGGCAUCUAAAAAAUGUAUUGUAUCAUUUAGAAAAACAAAGACAAAAUCAUCGGCAGAUGUCCCUCUCGAAAUAGGACAAGUUCUAUCUGAAAAACUUUUUUCGAAUAAUGUAUAGUUUGUAUUUUACUAUAUUAUUUAUCGUAAUUCCAUGUUAUUUUUAUACCAUAUUAUUUUAUAUUUAGAUAUUCGGUAUAAAUUCGGUAAAAUUUAAAAUGUGAAAUAUAAAGCUAUUAAGAUCUGGAUUUUGAUUAAUGAAAAAAUCUUUCUCGAUUGUUAUCGAGUAAUUGAUUGUGAGAUUUAAAAUUUAAACAGAUUCAUGAAGCUUUUCUAACGACGAUUCACAUAAUUUAUUGCUUGCUGAUUGAUAUAUUAAUUUUUAUCAUUUGAGUAGAUAUGAAACCAUUGUCAUGAAACGCUAUUUGUUCGGAAAGGUUUCUGAGUAAAUUAAUUUAUUACUUGUGUUAAUCGGAUCUAACGGAGACGUCUAAUCAAACUUAUUGUUGCAGGUAGAAAAUGAAGUAAGGUAAUAGAAGGUCAUUAGAAACGCGAUGUAUGCGUCUCAAACUCGUGAUAAGUUAAGCGUCAUUGUUCAAAGAAAUAAAGAUGCGAAAAAUAGAUUAUAGAAAGAAACAUAUUGAGUUUACAGAAAAAAAUUUCGAUUGUGCUUUAAUAAAAAUUAUAAAAUUCUGGUAUAAGGACGUAGGUACAGCUGUGGAGUGGGGGUUAUGACCGAAUGCGGUGACGUCUGCGAACAGGUCUGAAAUUGAAAUUGCGUCUUAAAACUGUUGGGACCUACAUUAUCUCAGCAGUAGUUUUUUAAAUUAACGUAGAACGAUGAUUUUUUGUUAAAUAUAAGCAGUAUUUUGAGGUUCAAGAUUCUAAAAAAUUAUAAGGAUUCGGAUCGACAUGUUAAAACUUCUAAUAAUGGUAUAUUUAUUUUAACGGAAAGCAACAAUUGACAUCUGACACUGGCGUAUCAAAAACAAAGACUACAUAUUCUGAAUGUAUAUUGUUAACACUGUUAUAAAACAUUGCGAGGAUAAAAAAAGUGUGAAGCAAGACAGAUGAAUAUAAUAUGACAUCCGCGAAAGCCACUAUAGUGGAGCAUCGUACCUAAGAGGUUAAAGGACAAAGGAUAAAUAUUUCUUUGUGAUUUAAAAUUAUGACAACUGAUUUUUUACAUAGAUAUGUAAAUAUAUAUGUUUAUUUAUAUUAAAAAUAUAAUUUCUGGAUAUAUUACAAUA